AGCCCCUGCCACAAGCUUAUUCACACAUGAUGUGCUAGCCUGGCACCCAAAACCCCCAAAUCAUCCAUGAGUCACAGCUCAUUACGUGGAACACUGCAGGCUUGCUACCCUGAUGUUGGGCCAUGAUUUGCUUAAUUGAACCAAGAAAAGGAGCGUGGGAAGUGAGGGAGCCAAGCUGUUACCUAUGCAUUAAAGAAUAUGAAGCAGGACCAAAGGCACCACGAAGAAAACAUUCCAAGUUUAGCGCUCUCUCAAGGAGUUCAAGAGCUUCAGAGCCAGACUGCUGAAUUUUAAGCCCAGCUCGGCCCCUUAGCAUCUGUAUGAUCUGGGGCAUGUGAUUUCUGCCUCAGCUUCCUCAUCAGUGAAAUGCAAGUAAAAGAGCAUCUACCAUACAGGGCUUACCCCUGUUAAAACAGUAACACCUAAAAUGUGUAUAUAAAUAAAGGCAGGUUGAGUAUCCCUUAUCCAAAAUGCUUAGAACCAGAAGAGUUUCAGAUUUUGGACCUUUUUUUUUUUUCCUUUAUUGCAUUAUGCUGGUUCAGCAUCCCUAAUCCAAAAAUUGAAAAUCUGAAAUGUUUCAAUGAGCAUUUCCUUUCAGUGUCCUAUCAGUGCUCAAAAGUUUCAGAAUCUGGAGCAUUUCAGAUUUCAGACAUUCAAAUUAGGGAUACUCAAUUGUACUACUAUUAGUAUGCCAUCAGAAUACUUUUACUUAAAACCUUCUAUGUCAUUGGUAUAUAAACCAUGAAGUUGAACUCAUCAACUCAUUGCAACAAAGAUGAUCAUGGAACUGUAAUUGGAGAGCUUUGUUUAUAACAAGCUUGCUCAAUGAUUGAUAUCUGGAGAUGGAAAACAAAAUAAGUGGGAAACUGGUAAACAAUAUAAACUUUAAUAUUAUCUUCAGGGAGUUUAAAAUUAUAAUCUUUAAUAAGUGAUCUUUUCAUAUCAUUCUAACUUAGAACUAUGUCUAGGUAUCUUUUCUUUAACAUUUAGGUACAUGAGCUUAUUUAUCUUCUUGCUAAAGUUCAAAAUCUAAUUUCUAACACAGGUUACUUGCUGUAAUAAACUCUACAAGCUUUAAAAUGACAGGUUGAAAGAUACGAUUUUUUAGAGUUAUGAAUUAAUAGCUAUAUAUGUCAAAGACUUUGAAAGGGCCAACUUUUUCAUAUUUAUAGAUAUAUUAUUGAAAUGAUAAAAAGUGAACUGUGGAAAGAGGAAAGAACUGAGAACCACAUAUAAUGAAUCAAACAUACUUAACAAGACAUGUACAGACACUUUGGUGUGCAUCUCUUUUAUUACGUUACAUUAAUCAAAUACUGUUAAAGACAUCCAUCUGAGCAAAGUGUCAUGAUGAUAUUCUAUAAAAACAUUCUUUUGAAAAGAGUCUGUCCUGACAGCCAUAUCAACUAUAUUGUUUUAAGUGAUUGUCAGACCCACACUUCUCAGAAAUUAAGACAAUUUAUGUAUGUGCCUCUUGAGUUCUCUCAGCCCCACUGAGGCUAGCUUUUUAAAAGAAAAUAAUGUACUUGGAGAAAAUGCACAAAAUCUGACUAAGGAGUCAUAAGACUCUGGGUGCAAAUAAUUGAAAAAAAUAUUUUAGAAGCAUAAUAUCAAUUCAUCUAGUUUUAAAGUUUUCACAAAUUAUAAUAGGGAAUUCUGCUUAUUUCACAAAAUAAUUAUCUGACCUUAAGAGGAUUUUUCCUAACAUCACAUAAACCUGAUGGCUUUACACAGUGAUGAUGAGCUAUUAUUUCAUUUUCAUCCUGAUAAACUACAUAAGAAUUGCAAUUUUUAUAUGCAAUUAUUCAUAAUGUAUGUUUGGAUUUCCCUGUUUAAAUUCUAUUAGAGUCCUACUUUAUGAAAAAUCUAUCAUUUAAUAUUCUAUUUAAUACUGAGAUGAACAUACAUAAAAGCAAACAGAUGAAGAAGAUGAGUAAUAUCUCAGGAUCUGUAGCCAUCAGACUAUGAGCAAAUCAUAAUAUAUUAUUAUAAGUCCCUUCUGUUACAGUCAGAUAUUUCAGAAAAAUAACAAUAAUGUAUUAAAAACGGAACUUCUCUGGUCUUUAAAUAGCACAAGUAAUUCAACUGAUAAAUCUAGAUAAUACUUAUAGCUCUCUAUACCUAUGGUUUGGUUUUGCCUUUUCUAAAUUAAACUGGAUUUUCAAACUAUUUAGGUGCCACAUUCAUUUUACCCUGAGAAAAGAUAUGUCAAAGAACUUUAUGGCUAGAAGUUUGUCUUAAUUAGCAUACAACUGAACAAUCAAAGUCUAAAAACUGAAAGCCAGCAGCUGAAUGUAACACUGAUUUUAAUAUCCUUAUUUUUAGAGAGAAUUUAUUAUAAGAAAUUGAUGGCAGGUAGAAAGAGGAUAAAGGUGUCCAUACACUGCUUAAUCAUCUAUACAUAAAAUUUAUUUGGAAAGAAGGACAAAUUUGGCCAGUUGCACCUUUGCCUUCAUAUAGAUUCAAUUUUCUCUGUCAGUUUGAGAGAACAGUUUUUGAUUUUUCUACUACCUGCCUUCUGUGGUGGGGGAGGAGGGUUGAGGUGAGCCAACUAAGGAAAAACAAACAAUUAUGGACUGGGCAUGGUGGCUCACACCUGUAAUCCCAGCACUUUGGGAGGCUGAGGUGGGCAGAUCACCUGAGGUCAGAAGUUCGAGACCAGUCUGACCAACAUGGCAAAACCCCAUCUCUACUAAAAAUACAAAAAUUAGCCGGGCAUGGUGGCGAGCGCCUGUAAUCCCAGCUACUUAGGAAGCUGAGGCAGGAGAAUCGCUUGAACCUGGGAGGCGGAGGUUGCAAUGAGCCAAGAUCGCACCAUUGCACUCCAGCCUGGAUGACAAGAGUGAAACUCCGUCUCAAAAAAAGAAAAAAGAAAAAAAAAAAACUUUUCAGUUUGAUGUAAUGUAACUAGAAACCUCUCCUCUAAAAUUGCUGUAAUUGCAUAGAAAGAAAAUCUAAAGUGUAGCCAUAAUUAUUUUUUAGAAUGCUUUGAAGCCACCUUAGAAAUUUGGCCCUCUUACUGGAAGACAUCUAUUCUUUUUGUUCCAGUCCUUGGCACAUGCAGAAUGACCAACCUCACUUAUUGCUGCCACUCCCAUACAAACCUAAGAAAUUUCCUUUAUGCAUGACUAACCCCUACUAACCUUCAUCUGCUAAAUGAUUUCUUAUCUGUAUGUGAAAAAAUAAUAACCUGAUUAUUUAAAAAAUUACUCUCAUCAUUUUGUCCAAUAGACCAAGCCCAAAAAUCAGAGGAUGGCAAAGUUUUCCCUUCAGAUUUUACAUUGAGGAGCUAGAUUUAUUUUUCUCUAUUUAAAUUUUGAACAUUUUUUUAAAAACUUAUCGUCUAGUUGUGUUAGUGUUCCAGAUGUCAAAAUACGAUUUUAUUUGACGCUGUUUAAACUGAAAAUGAGCUUUACAAAGAAGGCUUACUAACAUUUCAAAUAAUUCUGGAAAAGCAUAGGAGGGUUUGAAUUCACAUAAACAUAAAAUGUAUUUAUGAUUUGGAUUUUAACCAAUGUAAAGUAUGUAUCUGAGUAUUGAGUCCCAUGACUGCAAUCUAUUCUUCUGUGUUAUAUGGAAGAUGAAUAAAAGACAUAACUUAAGCAUUUUUCUCUAAUUCUGGUCACAGACCUACAAGAUGGGUACAUUGCUCUUAUUUUACCAGUGAGGAAAUGGAGGUUUAGUUGGAUGGAGUGUCUUGCCCAAGGUCACAGUGGUAGUAAGUAGGCAGAACCCAAAUUGAAUGAAAUCCAGGCCUUUCUGGCUCCUAAACUGUGUUCUUUGGAGCCUAUGGGACUGCUAAUCUAAGAGAAGCCCAGGUCAGCUGAUUCCCCUGAACAAUGACCUGUUAGACUCAAUCAGUCCCUGUCCGGAGAGGUUCUUCUUUAAAAGUAGGUUUUGAAAGGACCCCACAAUAUUGGCCCAAGAAAGCCCUCAGUAUUUAGGGAAAACUCAAAGCCAAGCAGACAUUAUGGAGGACAAUUUCCUAAGAGAUCUUUUUCCAAGCUUUUGGACAUAACAAUCUCAAGAAGCAUAAAGGCCCAGUAACACUUGUUACGUGUAUAAGUCUUUCUCUGUUUUGUUUGUUUUUCUGUUUUUGUUUUUGUUUUCUCUUUACUGGUCU
rnacentral:lncRNA from 10 species